rfam:Vigna angularis cultivar Jingnong 6 scaffold279_3, whole genome shotgun sequence.
GAGUGGUUAUCAGAGUGGUUAUCGGGCAUGACUAGAAAUCAUGUGGGCUCUGCCUACGUAGGUUCGAAUCCUGCCGCUCA